rnacentral:ncRNA from 2 species
UAGGUAGAGGCGCGGUGUUUAAAAGUAGCACGAGCAAAGAAGGUUCCGCUUCCGUGUGAAAGGAAACACUGCCGAGGGUGUACGGCAUGGAAACUGCCGUGCAUGCCGGUAUUGCGGAGAAGAUCCGCCGUACUGCCACUUAUUUUGUGGAGAGCUAUCA